rnacentral:misc_RNA from 1 species
UUUUCAUAAUGAACAAGAGUAUCCUUCAUUGAAGCCUUGUAGUCUCAGUCAACUAGAAGUUUCAGUUGGCAACACUGUCCCUAUGCUUGGAUGUCAUUAUAGACAACCAGCAGCUUUGCCUCGUCAAAGUUCACAGAUCAAACGACGGUGGUCCAAAUCUAGGAUUAAAAUAUGACCGGCCUGCUCCUGAAAGGGGACAGACUGUGCGUUCCGUAGGUGAACCUGCGGAAGGAUCAUUACUGAGAACUUGCCCUUAGGGGUAGAUCUCCCACCCUAUGUUUACAUACUUUGUUGCUUUGGCAGGCCUGCCUUUUGGCUGCUGGCUUCGGCUAGUUAGUGUCUGCCAGAGAACCAACACUAUGAAUAAUUUAAUGUCAGAGUACUAUUCAAUAGUUAAAACUUUCAACAACGGAUCUCUUGGUUCUG